UACGUAGGAUGCGAGCGUUGUUCGGAAUCACUGGGCGUAAAGCGUACGUAGGCGGUAAAUUGAGUCUGCUAUUAAAGCCCGGGGCUUAACUCCGGGAAUGUAUCAGAAACUGGUUUGCUAGAGGUUAGUAGAGGGAAUCGGAAUUCUCAGUGUAGCGGUGAAAUGCGUAGAUAUUGGGAAGAACACCGGUGGCGAAAGCGGAUUUCUGGGCUAAUACUGACGCUGAGGUACGAAAGCGUGGGGAGCAAACGGG
rnacentral:rRNA from 1 species